rnacentral:misc_RNA from 1 species
GAACACCUUUUGGAAGCUUGCCUCCAAGACGAGUAAAUCGCUCAGGAUCUCGAAGAUAAUGAACAAUUUCUUCCAGCUCAGCUUUUGCCUCAUCAACACCUUUAACUUCAUUAAACGUUAUAUUAGAUUCCAUGCUAGGUUUCACAUCUUCUUCAUAGUGCACUUUAUUGAGUAUUUCCAUGAUUCCUCUAAAUGCAAAUAUCCACAGACUAAUCUUCCAGAAUACACCCCAGAGCUUUAUGAAAUAUUCAUCCCCUUCCCUUACUUUUAUGAUAUGAAUAGGAGCAUCAAUGGUCCCUAAAAGAUGAGACGGGUUGUUCAGUUCUCCAGGUGCCCGCUCAUUUCGACUGCUAUUCCUUUCCUCGGUCUCCCUUGCCUGCGUUUGCUGAUUACU